rnacentral:lncRNA from 1 species
AUAAUAAUAGUAUAUCUUAAAUAAUACCUUAACUUCAAAUGGAUAUAAUUUCAUCACUCUUACUCCAAAUCCUCUAAAAUUUAUAUACAAAUUGUAAUCCAAAUCCUAAACCUUAUAUUUCUUACUUUUGAUUUUCAAAUACUUCUUCAAAAGUCACCAAAAUCCUUAUUAUGGUCGUGGACUACCUAUUGAAUGCCUAUUGGAUAUGACCUUUGAUCAAUAGAAAUAAAGAUCUUUACCUUUUUCCUUCAUCCGACCCUGUCUUAAUUUCAUCCCUC